rfam:Myotis davidii contig157741, whole genome shotgun sequence.
GGUGGUUCUCAGGUGACACAUCCCAGAAUUGGGCUCCCUCCUCUCUGAUUCUGGGUGCAUCACCUAAGAAUCACA